rnacentral:rRNA from 1 species
AGUGAACGUUGGCGGCGUGGAUUAGGCAUGCAAGUCGAGCGAUCGUAGCAAUACGGGAGCGGCAAACGGGGUAGGAAUACAUCGGAACGUACCUUUUGGUUGAGAAUAGCGUUGGGAAACUGACGGUAAUACUCAAUAAAGUCGAGAGACCAAAGGUUUACUGCCGGAAGAGCGGCCGAUGCGAUAUUAGGUAGUUGGUGGGGUAAUGGCCUACCAAGCCUGAGAUGUCUAGGGGGUGUGAGAGCAUGGCCCCCACCACUGGGACUGAGAUACUGCCCAGACACCUACGGGUGGCUGCAGUCGAGGAUCUUCGUCAAUGGGCGAAAGCCUGAACGAGCGACGCCGCGUGCGGGAUGAAGGCCCUUGGGUUGUAAACCGCUGUCAGGGGGAUGAACCGUAAGGUUGACAGAGCCCCAGAGGAAGCACGGGCUAAGUUCGUGCCAGCAGCCGCGGUAAU